CCUCUCGUGGUGUAGGGGUAGCGCGCCCUAUCUAUUGAGCAGGGAGUCGUGAGUUAGAUUCUCACCGAGAAGA
rnacentral:tRNA from 1 species